rnacentral:misc_RNA from 1 species
GGAAACCCUCCGAAAAGCCGUGUUGUUCUUCACUCUACAUUUAAUUUUCUUGCCGCUAUUUUCCGGCGGGGUUUUUAGGGUUCCGUUCAUAGGAUGGGUUCGGCGUUGUUGCCAGAUCUAGGGACAGAGAUAGUGAUUCCAGUGUGUGCCGUUGUUGGAAUCGUCUUCUCUUUAUACCAGUGGUACGUUGUCUCGCGCGUUAAAGUCUCGUCGGAACGUGGAGAUACUUCUCCGAGUAACAAUAAUAAGAAUGGAUAUGGAGACUACUUGAUUGAAGAAGAGGAAGGAGUUAACGACCAGAACGUUGUUGCGAAGUGCGCCGACAUACAGAAUGCCAUCUCUGAAGGGGCAACAUCUUUUCUAUUUACUGAGUAUCAGUAUGUGGGUAUCUUCAUGAUUGCUUUUGCAAUCCUGAUCUUCCUUUUCUUGGGCUCAGUUGAAGGUUUCAGCACUAAGAGCCAGCCAUGUACUUACAACAAGGAGAAGAUGUGCAAGCCAGCCCUUGCAACUGCCAUCUUCAGCACGAUAUCCUUCUUGCUUGGUGCUAUCACUUCUGUUAUCUCUGGUUUCUUAGGGAUGAAAAUUGCAACUUAUGCAAAUGCAAGAACAACUUUGGAAGCGAGAAAAGGUGUUGGGAAAGCUUUUAUUGUUGCAUUCAGGUCUGGUGCAGUGAUGGGUUUUCUCCUUGCUGCCAAUGGCCUCCUUGUUCUUCACAUUACCAUUAAUCUCUUCAAGCUUUACUAUGGUGAUGACUGGGAGGGUCUUUUUGAGGCUAUUACUGGAUAUGGACUUGGUGGAUCCUCAAUGGCUCUUUUCGGUAGGGUUGGUGGUGGUAUUUACACCAAAGCUGCUGAUGUUGGU